rnacentral:rRNA from 1 species
UACGGGGGGGGCAAGCGUUGUUCGGAAUUACUGGGCGUAAAGGGUGCGUAGGCGGCUUUCUAAGUCGGAUGUGAAAACUCUGGGCUCAACCCAGAGCCUGCAUCUGAAACUGGAAGGCUAGGGUUCUGAAAGGGAAAGCGGAAUUCCUGGUGUAGCGGUGAAAUGCGUAGAUAUCAGGAGGAACACCGGUGGCGAAGGCGGCUUUCUGGACAGAUACCGACGCUGAGGCACGAAAGCUAGGGGAGCAAACAGG